rnacentral:rRNA from 1 species
UACGUAGGGUGCGAGCGUUAAUCGGAAUUACUGGGCGUAAAGCGUGCGCAGGCGGUUUUGUAAGCCCGAUGUGAAAUCCCCGGGCUCAACCUGGGAAUGGCAUUUGGGACUGCAAGGCUUGAGUGCGGCAGAGGAGACUGGAAUUCCUGGUGUAGCAGUGAAAUGCGUAGAUAUCAGGAGGAAUACCGAUGGCGAAGGCAGGUCUCUGGGCUGACACUGACGCUCAUGCACGAAAGCGUGGGGAGCAAACAGG